rnacentral:rRNA from 1 species
CUCUGUGACUCCUACGGGAGGCAGCAGUGGGGAAUAUUGCACAAUGGGCGCAAGCCUGAUGCAGCCAUGCCGCGUGUGUGAAGAAGGCCUUCGGGUUGUAAAGCACUUUCAGUCGUGAGGAAGGUAGUGUAGUUAAUAGCUGCAUUAUUUGACGUUAGCGACAGAAGAAGCACCGGCUAACUCCGUGCCAGCAGCCGCGGUAAUACGGAGGGUGCGAGCGUUAAUCGGAAUUACUGGGCGUAAAGCGCAUGCAGGUGGUUUGUUAAGUCAGAUGUGAAAGCCCGGGGCUCAACCUCGGAAUUGCAUUUUGAAACUGGCAGACUAGAGUACUGUAGAGGGGGUAGAAUUUCAGGUGUAGCGGUGAAAUGCGUAGAGAUCUGAAGGAAUACCGGUGGCGAAGGCGGCCCCCUGGACAGAUACUGACACUCAGAUGCGAAAGCGUGGGGAGCAAACAGGAUUAGAUACCCUGGUAG